UCACUGCAUACCCCGGAGCAGGGAGAGGGAUGGAUGCUGCCCAGGACACAGCGCUGUGCUGGGGGCUGGGAGUGCAGCACAGCCAGGAUCCAGGCUGUGCCUGGAUGGGGAAUGUGGAUAAAUCCUGUAGGAUAAAGGCUGCAGCUGCCUGUGUGCCCAGGGGUGGAAUCAGCCCUUCCCAUGGGGACCCAGAUGUCCCUCCAGCCUCAGCGAGGCCCUGCACAGGGAGGAAGUGACGUCCUGGGCUAGAAAAUGCCACAUCAGGGCCCCAGACAGGAUCUCAGAGUCAGCAUUUCCCCCCACAGGAGCAGAGGCCACGCUGGUGACUCCUGAGCGCUGGAUCCUGUGUGUAACUCAACUUCUCAGCCCACACUGAGGAACUCGUGUCACCAGUUACACCCUGGUGUAGCUGAGGACAGAGGAUCAGACCUCUCUGGAGCUCACAUUAUCCCACAGGAUCUGUAGGAAAACAUCAACAGGAGGAGCAGACACAGACAAUUGGCCACACUGGGUCCAGUGUGGCCAUAAAAGGCUCCUUGAGGUGCUGGUGGUCUCCAGACGUGGGGCUGCAUCUCCUCGGGGUCGGCAUGGGUGGCUGGGACUGGUUUUGGGGGUUUUGAGCUGGUAAAUCAGAGCAGGGCCCACUUGCCUGUGAUGUGGGUGGGUUGGGAAGUGGCACUGUGCUCUCAUGGGAGAAACCCCAGGGCAGGGGGCUGGUGGUGGGACCUCACUUUCUGCUUUUGGCCCCAAAAAUGGAUCUGGAAAGGAAGUGAAUGUCAUGACGCCUCAGGUGUAGAAUUCAACCCAAAACCUUUAAGGAAGGAUCGCUGAUGGGGUCAUCUCAAACAACCCUUCAAGAGGGAUACAGCCUUGGGGGUGGCUGGGAUUGGCUCCUGGGAGAGGCCAAACGCUGUUUUGGUGAGGAGGGAGAGCCCAGACACAGCAGCCACAGGGGAACAAACAGUGAGGAAUUUUUGGGAGCCCCCAGGGCUCUGCUCUGGCUGCUGGGUGAGGUCACUGUCAGUGCCUGGCUCUGGGCACGCAGGGAUGGGGGCUCAGGCCAGGAUCAUUUACAGAGGUGUGCCCCAUUAAUCACCAGGGCCAGCACAGCUGGGGGUUAUUUGCCUCCCUGGGCUCUGUAAAAGGACCUGGUGGCCACUUCUUGGGUUUGGACUGAUGAGAAGGGAGUGUUCUCUCUUGUGGCUGUGUCUUGGAGGUAUUCCUGAGAUCCUGCUCUUCCCUGGGAUGCACCAAGAGCAAAAGGAAUUAAAAAGAAAAACCCACCGCCGAGGGCUGUGCCGUGUGCAUGGGUGAGCGGACCGUGCUGUCACCCUGCUGUCACCGCCUGACUCACCCGGGGGGCUGCGACUCCCAGCAACAACAACAACAAAAAACUGUAGGGAGAAAUUGUGAAUGAUGCUGGCUGCCACCGGGGUAGUCAAAUUUCUGUUCCUCCUUCGGGCUGGCUGGUUAACAAAGAAGUUAUUAAUAACCAAUUAAGCCACAACUCGCGUCACGCCUUCCUCUGGGAGUGUGGCAAGAGCAGCCCUGGUUCCUCCUUUGGCUCUGUCCCCACCCUGCCGCUUUGGGGGGACAUUUGGGCUGCUGGGGAUGGGGACAUGCCCAGGUGGCAGCUCCCAGGCCAUGGUGACACCUCCGUGGGCUGUUGGGGACCGCCAGCACAGCGGUGACCCGAGGCUGGGGCACGGCGUGUUUGGCUGAGCCGCUGGUGGGGCAGGAAUUUGGGCAGUGCCAGCGCAGAUGGUGACAGCCGUGGGGACACGGAGGGAGGAGGAGGGUGAGGAGGGUCCCUGCUGGGCACUGAUGUGCACGGUGCCACAUGCCAGGCAGAGCUGAGCCGGAUGCGCUCGGAGCACAGAGAAUCCGGGCACUGUGCUGCUCCUGAAACGCCCAUUCAGGGCAGGAGCAGCAGGACAAGAGGGAGGAAGCGGAGGGAAGAUGGAGCACUGAAGGCCUCUGUGUGUGGCUGGACGGAUGCAGGUGCAGCUGUGGAUUCCCCGGAUGCUCCACGCUGCCCUUGAUCACCAGGGAGUCCCCCCAAAUCCCCAGCCCUGCUGUCACUCUGAGUUAUUCCUGUGCCACGCUGCCCAGUGCUGCCCUUUUUUUAAUCUAUAGGUGUGUGUAUAUUCCCUGAAGUGCCACCCAGGGUUGGGCUGUCCCUCGUUGCUCUGACCUCCCUCCUGUCCUCAGCUGAGUAUCUGCAGGAAAUGUUUGGUAAUUAAAUAGCUGUGAAAACUCAUCAUCAGCUGAAAUCAGCCCCGAAGGACACACGGGAGAAUCCCCACACGUGGCCUUGCCUGUCCCAUCCCACACGGCGCUGCUCCCUUUGGAAAAGCAAGCUGAAUAAAGCUGCUGCCCUGCUGGCAGAGCCCUGUCAGGGCACUUUUCCUGAGUGCUGAUUUUCACCUGUGCAAGGCAAGAGGAAAAACUGAGUGCAGGUUUUUUUUAGGAAGCCACAACAGAGCAGAUGAAUUCCUCCCAAGGGCUGUGUUGGGCUGUGAUUUCUGACACAUCAGCUGUGACAAUCCAGGGUAAUUUCACCGAAGCCUCUCCAGAUGUCUGUGUGUAAAUGGGAGCAGGAUCUGGCCCUGUUAAAGGAACACUGCCCAGGGCUUUGCUCCAAGAUAUGUGUUCUUGCUUUCUGCUCUCUUAGCAAAUGCAGCACUCCUAGGAGGCAAUUCUGCAUCUUAAAUAGAAAGCCAAGGCACUGCUUUCUCUUGCAGUAUUCCUGCAGAGCUGGAAACAGCAUUUGCUUCAAUAGAAGAGUUUGAGAUCCCCAGGAAAAUGGGACCUGAGCCCCCUCCCUGUGAGGCUGAUGGCAAAGGAACAGUGUUGCUCUGACAGGGCUCGUGAUGUAAGGCACUAACAUUAGCAGAGAAUUGAAUCCUGCCUAGCUCAAGGUUAACAGCUAAGCCAGAAUCACAGCUCACUGCAGAAGAUUUGAAUCUUCCCAGCUCCCAGAUGGUGCUCAAGGCAUUGGAAUGUGCAGCAUUUCUAAACAAGAUGCUUUUAAUGCAGCUCACCCGGUGUUUCACUGCAGUCCCUGUUCUUCUGUAUUUAAACCUCAAAUCUGUGGCAGAUUUGAUAGUGGCUCCAUGAGAGGGAAGUGUGGAUGCUCCAUACAUGGAAGUUUCCAAGGCCAGGUUGGACGAGUCUUGGAGCAGCCUGGAAAUAGUGGGAGGUGUCCCUGCCCCUGUCAGGGGUGGGGGGGGAGAUGAUUUUUAAGGUCCCUUCCCAAACCAUUGUGAGAUUUGAUGAAGUUUGCAGCACUCAGCCUGACCUUCCUUUCACUUAAAAGCAAUGACUCAUAAACUGGAUUUUGCUCCACA